AGUCUGCCUUUUUUGUUUGUUUGUUUCCAUAUCAUUUAGUUAUGGUCUAAUUUUUAUUAUUUCCCUUCUUGUGCUGGCUUUAGGCUUUAUUUUCUGCUCCUUGUCU